rnacentral:rRNA from 1 species
GAUGAACGCUGGCGGCGUGCCUAAUACAUGCAAGUAGAACGCUGAAGGAGGAGCUUGCCCUUCUGGAUGAGUUGCGCACGGGUGAGUAACGCGUAGGUAACCUGCCUGGUAGCGGGGGAUAACUAUUGGAAACGAUAGCUAAUAUCGCAUGACAACAGUUAUAGCAUGAUAACUGUUUAAAAGAGGCAACUGCUCCACUACCAGAUGGACCUGCGUUGUAUUAGCUAGUUGGUGAGGUAAAGGCUCACCAAGGCGACGAGACAUCGCCGACCUGCGAGGGUGAACGGCCACAAUGGGACUGAGACACGGGCCAGACUCCUACGGGGGGGAGCAGGAGGGGAACUUCGGGAAUGGACGGAAGGCUGACCGAGCAACGCCCGGUGGGUGGAUAAAGUUUUCGGAUCGGAAAGCUCUGUUGAAAGAGGAGAACGAAUGUGGGAGUGGAAUGUGCACGCUGUGACGGUAUCUUACCAGAAAGGGACGGCUAACUACGUG